UUCAUAGAGCUUUUUGUUGUUCUUGUUGUUAGUUUACUUUUAUUUUUUCUGCUUUGUUCAAGUUUUUAAAACUCGAUUGUGACAAUUUGUCUCUCCAAUGUUGCAGAGUUUCUAUGUGGAGGAUGUGACACACUUGGUUGAAUCUGGAUGUGGGGAUAAAUUCAUCUGCAAAGUGCAUGAAAUCCUGGAAAACCAUGCCACAAAGCAGCAGAAAUAUAAAGAGAAGGAGAUUGUGAGAAACUUGGAAGUGUUUAUUAAUGGCACAAAUGUGAACUGCACUGAAGUACUGAAGACUGUGCCGAAGGCAAGAACUGAAAAGCCAAUACCGGCUUUGCUGGAAAACCUCAAGAAAUGCAUUCAGAAGAGAAACUUCAAUGGACAAUAAAAACAUGCCUGGAUACCUUCCAGAUCUGUGGACUGUCUGUCAUAAUGCUUCCAAGUCAUUUUCUUUGUUCUUUUUUUUCUUUUUGUAAUUUAUCACAAUUCAAGCAUUGGAUAUUUAUUUCAUUCUAUAGUUUAAGACAGUAUUUUUCUUCCUUUUUAUGCAGUUGAUGUUAUUUAAUAGUAGCUAUAUUCGGUACAUUAGCAAAGACAUAUCUGACUGAGCUGUGUUUAACUGCAUUUGUAAAAAUGUAUGUGUAGCUGUUGUCAAACAGCACAACAGAUCAACUUGACAUGUUAUUCUACAACUGCAUAUUUAUUUUUUAUUUAA